UAAAGCCCAUGCCCAGCGGCCCCAUUGCAGCAAGAUAAAGCCUGUCUCUAUAUAAAAACAUAUAUAGUCGAGAUAAUCAAGGGAAGAUGACAGGGACCAUAAAAAGGACGUCAGCAGAAAAUAGAAAGAUGUAAAAAAAAAAGAAAGAAAGAGAGAGAAGACAUGAGGAAACACGAAUAGUAGCCUGGAGAGAAAGAGCCACGUUUAAGUGAGUAGAAGAAGAAGUGAGUGGACGGGCAGCGGAGAGUGAAGGGAGGAGUGAAGGAGACGAGGAGCAAACAAGUGUGUACGCGGGGGGCCGACCUGCCAUGACCUGGCAGCUCCUCUCCACCCAGCCAUGCGGCGCGUGUACGUGCGCGCUCCGGAGUUUAUACUUGCGCUCAUCCAAUGUGAGGAAUGAUGUGCGAGACUUGAAAGAAGACGCUGCGGAACAAAGUGAUGAUUCCCCGCCCCCCCUUCAUUAGAAGAGAUUAAUGAAGCCCCUGCAAGCAGACAGUGAGUCUGAUUAAAACAGACUCCCGUGUUCAGUGCUCCCUCAAUGUCAUGUGACCCCCCCUCCCAAUUUAUUAGGAUGACUGUCAUGUGAUUAACUGAGGUGUUUUGUUCAGGCUAAAGUUGCAGAUGCUCCGAGAGGCAGACGAACGCAUCCGAGAGCGGCGGAGAUGAGAGCGGAGCAGAUGUACUCUGAGAGAGACCCCGAUAAAAGGCUGACAGAGGGGGGAAGAUGAAGUGAAGACGAGCAAAGGAAAGACAGCAGGAAGUCGAGAGUGACGAAAAGGAGGGCUUGAAAUGCAGAUGAACUUCUCAGACGACGUUGGAAUCUGCAACAGCCAUCUGUGUGUGCCCCGUCGUCACUUUUUAGUCUGACUGAUCUGUGUUCCAACAUCAUUGGAAGAGGACCUCAGGCUCUACAGGCGCAGGAGACGUUAGGAGAAAGAUACCUCUGGGCCAGACUGCAUGACCUGAAAUGAUUGCAUAUGAUUUGGAGCUCAACUCAUGUGUCAAAUAAUAAAAUAAAAGUUUUUA